rnacentral:rRNA from 1 species
UAUUUAUUAGAUAACAAGCCAAUAUUCCUCUGGUCUAUUGUGGUGACUCAUAAUAACUGAUCGAAUCGCAAGGCCUAUGGCCGCGAUAAGUCAUUCAAGUUUCUGCCCCAUCAGCUUUCGAUGGUAGUGUAUUGGACUACCAUGGCGUUUACGGGUAACGGAGGACUAGGGUUCGAUUCCGGAGAGGGAGCCUGAGAAACGGCUACCACAUCUAAGGAAGGCAGCAGGCGCGUGAAUUACCCAAUCCUGACUCAGGGAGGUAGUGACAAGAAAUAACGGACCGAGGCCUUCGGGCUUCGGGAUUGCAAUGAGCCGAAUUUACACCCCUUAGCGAGGAUCGAUUGGAGGGCAAGUCUGGUGCCAGCAGCCGCGGUAAUUCCAGCUCCAAUAGCGUAUAUUAAGGUUGUUGCAGUUAAAAAGCUCGUAGUUGGAUUUCUGGGAGGGUGCCAAUGUCCGCCGACGUGCGUGCGCAGCGGCGCCCUUCCAUCCUUCUGUUAACGCCUCUUGGCAUUCAUUUGCUGGUGGCGGGCUCAGAUAUUUUACCUUGAGAAAAUUAGAGUGUUUCAGGCAGGCUAG